rnacentral:rRNA from 1 species
AGUGAACGCUGGCGGUAGGCCUAACACAUGCAAGUCGAACGGCAGCACAGGAGAGCUUGCUCUCUGGGUGGCGAGUGGCGGACGGGUGAGGAAUACAUCGGAAUCUACUCUGUCGUGGGGGAUAACGUAGGGAAACUUACGCUAAUACCGCAUACGACCUAUGGGUGAAAGCAGGGGACCUUCGGGCCUUGCGCGAUUGAAUGAGCCGAUGUCGGAUUAGCUAGUUGGCGGGGUAAAGGCCCACCAAGGCGACGAUCCGUAGCUGGUCUGAGAGGAUGAUCAGCCACACUGGAACUGAGACACGGUCCAGACUCCUACGGGAGGCAGCAGUGGGGAAUAUUGGACAAUGAGCGCAAGCCUGAUCCAGCCAUACCGCGUGGGUGAAGAAGGCCUUCGGGUUGUAAAGCCCUUUUGUUGGGAAAGAAAUCCAGCUGGCUAAUACCCGGUUGGGAUGACGGUACCCAAAGAAUAAGCACCGGCUAACUUCGUGCCAGCAGCCGCGGUAA